rnacentral:RNase_P_RNA from 1 species
ACGGGCAACUGGGCGGGCCUCGGGGAACUCCCGUGGAAGUUCCUCCCUCCCGCGGUGGGCCCGGUGCCGAGAGGCACGAAGGGAGACCUUCGGCAACGCCACAGAAACGGAACCCCUCCAGUCGGAUGCGGGUUGACGCGGGAAGUACCGCCGACGACGACUGGAGAGCGGAUGAAACGGGCGACCCGGGCGGAGAAAGUGGCCGGGGCCGUGAGCGCCACCGCUGAGCCCCGUGGACACGAGAAGACGGAUCCCGCCUAAAACAGAAGGAGGACUACGAGUUGCCCGC